CAACUCUGCCCACUGAAAUAAUUUAAAAGGCCGCGGUAAUUUUGACCGUGCUAAGGUAGCAUAAUAAUUUGUCUCCUAAUUAGAGACUAGAAUGAAAGGUCAAACGAGGUAGUAUCUGUCUCCUAAUAAAUAUUAAAAAUUUACCUUUAAGUGAAAAGGCUUAAAUAAAUCAUAAGACGACAAGACCCCGUAGAACUUCAUACAAAAAUUUAAUAUUAGUUCUUUAUAAAAAAUUUUUGUAUUUCGUUGGGGUGACCAAUUUUAAAAAUAAACAAAAACUUAUUUUUACAUAUAUAAAUGAAACUUUUAUUGACCCAGAUAUUUCUGAUUAAAAGAACAAGUUACCUCGGGGAUAACAGCGUAAUUCUUUUCAAAAGCACACAUUAACAAAAGAGAUUGCGACCUCGAUGUUGGACUAAGAAACCUAUAAAAUGCAGCAGUUUUAUAAGAAGGUCUGUUCGACCUUUAAUAUCUUACA
rnacentral:rRNA from 1 species